AGUAGCGACGACUGAUUCGCUGACGAAUUUUUUAUUAAGUACGUUUUCCUCCAUGGUCGUCAGUCGUCGACGUUUAGUUCGCAAGUAUACAGUGUAUAUUGUGUAUUUUCUUAGACUCGAGACAAAACGUAUAAAGAUGAACAAAUUUCGGAAAGUGAAGAAAAAAGGAAAAAAAUAUCAUCCAUGUUUCAGCGGAGAAAAUUGGAAGGAUUUCAAUCAAUAUUGGUAAACCAGUAUUUAAAAGAUAAUGAAACCAGAUUUAAAGAGUUUUUUCGAAUCACACGACAUCAAUUUAAUUAUAUAUUGGAACUCAUCCAAGAUGAUCUUGUAACAAAACCCUACAACCGUGUGAAGGACCCAAUAACACCAGGAGAAAAAUUGGCAAUAACGUUAAGGUUUCUUGCAACAGGGGAGUCUUACAGAUCUAUAUCAUUUGCGUUUCGAAUCUCCUACAGCUACAUCAGCGUGUUUGUACCAAUUGUCCUACAAAGUUUGUGUAAAAAACUAAUGCCAAUUCUACUACCACAUCCUUCAGAACUUGAUUUAAAAGGAAAGCCUGAAGAAUUUUGGAAUCGUUGGAAUUUUCCUAACGUUAUCACAGCCAUCGACGGAAAACACAUACGAAUUAUGUGUCCAGAUAAGAGGCCGG